GGUCCCAUCGUCUAGGCUGGUCUAGGACGCUAGGUUUUCAUCCUAGAAACCCGGGUUCAAAUCCCGGUGGGACCG
rnacentral:tRNA from 1 species